rnacentral:rRNA from 1 species
GUUGUAUAGUCAAGUAAUUAAGUGCAUGUGGUGGAUGCCUUGGCAGUCAGAGGCGAUGAAAGACGUGAUAGCCUGCGAAAAGCUCCGGGGAGGCGGCAAAUAUCCUUUGAUCCGGAGAUGUCUGAAUGGGGGAACCCACCUACUUUAAGGUAGGUAUUGCAACAUGAAUACAUAGUGUUGCAAGGCGAACGAGGGGAAGUGAAACAUCUCAGUACCCUUAGGAAAAGAAAUCAAUUGAGAUUCCCUCAGUAGCGGCGAGCGAACGGGGAUCAGCCCAUUAAGUUAUGUGUGUUUUAGUGGAACGCUCUGGGAAGUGCGAACGUAGAGGGUGAUAUUCCCGUACACGAAAGGGCACACAUAAUGAUGACGAGUAGGGCGAGGCACGUGAAACCUUGUCUGAAUAUGGGGGGACCAUCCUCCAAGGCUAAAUACUCCUGACUGACCGAUAGUGAACCAGUACCGUGAGGGAAAGGCGAAAAGAACCCCUGUGAGGGGAGUGAAAUAGAUCCUGAAACCGCAUGCAUACAAGCAGUGGGAGCACCUUCGUGGUGUGACUGCGUACCUUUUGUAUAAUGGGUCAGCGACUUAUAUUCAGUAGCAAGGUUAACCGUAUAGGGGAGCCGUAGAGAAAUCGAGUCUUAAUAGGGCGUUUAGUUGCUGGGUAUAGACCCGAAACCAGGCGAUCUAUCCAUGAGCAGGUUGAAGGUUGGGUAACACUAACUGGAGGACCGAACCCACUGUCGUUGAAAAGCCAGGGGAUGACUUGUGGAUAGGGGUGAAAGGCUAAUCAAGCCUGGUGAUAGCUGGUUCUCCCCGAAAGCUAUUUAGGUAGCGCCUCGGACGAAUACCAUAGGGGGUAGAGCACUGUUUCGGCUAGGGGGUCAUCCCGACUUACCAAACCGAUGCAAACUCCGAAUACCUAUGAGUACUAUCCGGGAGACAGACUGCGGGUGCUAACGUCCGUAGUCAAGAGGAAAACAAUCCAGACCGCCAGCUAAGGCCCCAAAAUCAUAGUUAAGUGGGAAACGAUGUGGGAAGGCAUAGACAGCUAGGAGGUUGGCUUANNNNNNGAAGCAGCCACCCUUUAAAGAAAGCGUAAUAGCUCACUAGUCGAGUCGGCCUGCGCGGAAGAUGUAACGGGGCUAAAACUAUGUGCCGAAGCUGCGGAUGUAUACUUUGUAUACGUGGUAGGGGAGCGUUCUGUAAGCCGAUGAAGGUGUGUUGAGAAGCAUGCUGGAGGUAUCAGAAGUGCGAAUGCUGACGUGAGUAACGACAAAACGGGUGAAAAACCCGUUCGCCGAAAGACCAAGGGUUCCAGUCCAACGUUAA